UGCGCCUUGCCACGCCCGCUCAGAACUUAAAGGAAUUGACGGGGGCCGCACAAGCGGAGGAGCAUGUGGUUUAAUUCGAUGAUACGCGAGGAACCUUACCUGGGCUCGAACGUAAGAUGACUGUAGGUGAAAGCUUACAUCUCUUCGGAGCAUUUUACGAGGUGCUGCACGGUUGUCGUCAGCUCGUGCCGUGAGGUGUCGGGUUAAGUCCCAUAACGAGCGCAACCCCUACCUUUAGUUGCCAUCAGGUUAAGCUGGGGACUCUAAAGGAACUGCCUACGCAAGUAGUGAGGAAGGCGGGGAUGACGUCAAAUCAGCACGGCCCUUACGUCCAGGGCUACACACGUGCUACAAUGGCCGAUACAGAGGGCAGCUACCUGGUGACAGGAUGCAAAUCUCCAAAGUCGGUCUCAGUUCGGAUCGGAGUCUGCAACCCGACUCCGUGAAGUUGGAUUCGCUAGUAAUCGCGCAUCAGCCAUGGCGCGGUGAAUACGUUCCCGGGCCUU
rnacentral:rRNA from 1 species